rnacentral:lncRNA from 1 species
GGCUUGACAAAGAAAAAAAGAUUAAAAGUUAAUAAAGCAUGAUUAAAGUAAUCCAUUUUCUUGACUAUCACUCACCCUCAGAGAGCUAAUCGAAAGCACAGACCUGCUACGGCUCUUUCUUACGUAUAGAGACCCGCAGUUCCACACAAGCACCCCUCAUCGGCUGCAACCCAGCUUCCCACAGAAAGCGUUCCACUGCGACCUGGGGACAUGUAUCUGCUUUUCAUCCAGGCAGCUCAUGAACAAAUAUUCCAAGAUGCCUGUGGGAACUAAAUUUGGGGGUAUGGUGCCUACCAUACUGCAGCUGACCAGAGAUAGCACAAACUUCUACAUGGAGUGACCACUGUAGUUCCUGGUGAUGUUCCUGAUAUGUCUGUUGUGUAUGUAGCACAAGUCUCCUGGCUUGAUAUAGUGACUUCUGGUGCCAAGGGAACUUUUCCAAAG